rnacentral:rRNA from 1 species
GGUAAUCGUCGCGGCCACGCCGUUAAA